GCUUGCUCCUUUGGCGUCGAGCGGCGGACGGGUGAGUAAUGCUUGGGAAUGUGCCUUAUGGUGGGGGACAACAGUUGGAAACGACUGCUAAUACCGCAUAAUGUCUUCGGACCAAAGUGGGGGACCUUCGGGCCUCACGCCAUAAGAUCAGCCCAAGUGGGAUUAGCUAGUUGGUAAGGUAAUGGCUUACCAAGGCGACGAUCCCUAGCUGGUUUGAGAGGAUGAUCAGCCACACUGGGACUGAGACACGGCCCAGACUCCUACGGGAGGCAGCAGUGGGGAAUAUUGCACAAUGGGCGCAAGCCUGAUGCAGCCAUGCCGCGUGUGUGAAGAAGGCCUUCGGGUUGUAAAGCACUUUCAGUAAGGAGGAAAGGUUAAGUGUUAAUAGCACUUAGCUGUGACGUUACUUACAGAAGAAGCACCGGCUAACUCCGUGCCAGCAGCCGCGGUAAUACGGAGGGUGCGAGCGUUAAUCGGAAUUACUGGGCGUAAAGCGUACGCAGGCGGUUUGUUAAGCGAGAUGUGAAAGCCCCGGGCUCAACCUGGGAACUGCAUUUCGAACUGGCAAACUAGAGUGUGAUAGAGGGUGGUAGAAUUUC
rnacentral:rRNA from 1 species